rnacentral:rRNA from 1 species
UACGUAGGGGACAAGCGUUGUCCGGAUUCAUUGGGCGUAAAGAGCGUGUAGGCGGCCAGGUAGGUCGGUUGUGAAAACUGGAGGCUCAACCUUCAGACGUCGACCGAAACCAUCUGGCUAGAGUCCGGGAGAGGAGAGUGGAAUUCCUGGUGUAGCGGUGAAAUGCGCAGAUAUCAGGAAGAACACCCGUGGCGAAAGCGGCUCUCUGGAACGGUACUGACGCUGAGACGCGAAAGCGUGGGGAGCGAACAGG